UACGUAGGGUGCAAGCGUUAAUCGGAAUUACUGGGCGUAAAGCGUGCGCAGGCGGUUUUGUAAGUCUGUCGUGAAAUCCCCGGGCUCAACCUGGGAAUUGCGAUGGAGACUGCAAGGCUAGAAUCUGGCAGAGGGGGGUAGAAUUCCACGUGUAGCAGUGAAAUGCGUAGAGAUGUGGAGGAACACCGAUGGCGAAGGCGGCAUCCUGGACCGGCAUUGACGCUGAGGCGCGAAAGCCAGGGGAGCAAAGCGGG
rnacentral:rRNA from 1 species